rnacentral:rRNA from 1 species
UACGUAGGGGGCAAGCGUUGUCCGGAUUUAUCGGGCGUAAAGAGCGUGUAGGCGGCCAAGCAGGUCCGCUGUGAAAACUCGAGGCUCAACCUCGAGACGUCGGUGGAAACCGUUUGGCUAGAGUCCGAAAGAGGAGAGUGGAAUUCCCGGUGUGAGCGGUGAAAUGCGCAGAUAUCGGGAAGAACACCCGUGGCGAAGGCGGCUCUCUGGGACGGUACUGACGCUGAGACGCGAAAGCGUGGGGAGCGAACAGG